rnacentral:rRNA from 1 species
UGGGGAAUCUUGCGCAAUGGGCGAAAGCCUGACGCAGCAACGCCGCGUGGGGGAUGAAUGCCUUCGGGUUGUAAACCCCUUUCAGCAGGAACGAAUCUGACGGUACCUGCAGAAGAAGGUCCGGCCAACUACGUGCCAGCAGCCGCGGUAACACGUAGGGACCAAGCGUUGUCCGGAUUUAUUGGGCGUAAAGCGCUCGUAGGCGGUUUGGUAAGUCGGGUGUGAAACCUCCAGGCUCAACCUGGUGACGCCACCCGAUACUGCUAUGACUUGAGUUCGGUAGGGGAGCGGGGAAUUCCUGGUGUAGCGGUGAAAUGCGCAGAUAUCAGGAGGAACACCGGUGGCGAAGGCGCCGCUCUGGGCCGAAACUGACGCUGAGGAGCGAAAGCGUGGGGAGCGAACAGG